rnacentral:rRNA from 1 species
GAUUCCCCUAGUAACUGCGAGUGAAGAGGGAAGAGCUCAAAUUUGAAAUCUGGCAGUGUUUUGCUGUCCGAGUUGUAAUCUAGAGAAGUGCUGCCCGUGCUGGACCAUGUACAAGUCUCCUGGAAUGGAGCGUCACAGAGGGUGAGAAUCCCGUCUUUGACAUGGACUGCCAGUGCAUUUGUGGUGUGCUCUCAAAGAGUCGAGUUGUUUGGGAAUGCAGCUCUAAAUGGGUGGUAAACUCCAUCUAAAGCUAAAUAUUGGCGAGAGACCGAUAGCGAACAAGUACCGUGAGGGAAAGAUGAAAAGAACUUUGGAAAGAGAGUUAAACAGUAUGUGAAAUUGUUGAAAGGGAAACGCUUAAAGUCAGUCGUGUCGGCCAGGGAUCAACUCAGUAUUAUCUGCUGGGUGUACUUCCUGAUCUGAUGGGCCAACAUCAGUUUUGACUGCUGGAGAAGGAUAGAGGGAAUGUGGCACCUUUGGGUGUGUUAUAGCUCUCUGUCGGAUGCAGUGGUUGGGACUGAGGAAUGCAGCAUGCCGCAAGGCCGGGUCGUUUCGACCACGUUCAUGCUGAGGAUGUUGGCAUAAUGGCUUUAAUCGACCCGUCUUGAAACACGGACCAAGGAGUCUAACAUGCCUGCGAGUGUUUGGGUGGCAAACCCGAGUGCGGAAUGAAAGUGAAAGGUUGAGAUCCCUGUCAUGGGGAGCAUCGAUGCCCGGACCUGAGCACAAUGCAAAGGAUCUGCGGUAGAGCAUGUAUGUUAGGACCCGAAAGAUGGUGAACUAUGCCUGAAUAGGGUGAAGCCAGAGGAAACUCUGGUGGAGGCUCGUAGCGAUUCUGACGUGC